rnacentral:rRNA from 1 species
ACACUGUUCAUGUGGGCAGCAGCACAUGAGAAAUCAAAGUCUUUGGGUUCCGGGGGGAGUAUGGUCGCAAGGCUGAAACUUAAAGGAAUUGACGGAAGGGCACCACCAGGAGUGGAGCCUGCGGCUUAAUUUGACUCAACACGGGAAAACUUACCAGGUCCAGACAUAGGAAGGAUUGACAGAUUGAGAGCUCUUUCUUGAUUCUAUGGGUGGUGGUGCAU